CGUAGGUGGACAAGUCGUUGUCAGAAAUUAUUGGGCGUAAAAGCGCGCGCAGGCGGUUUCUUAAGUAUGAUGUGAAAGCCCCGGCUCACCCGGGGAAGGGUCAUUGGAAACUGGGGACUUGAGUGCAGAGGAGAAGAGUGGAAUUCCACGUGUAGCGGUGAAAUGCGUAGAGAUGUGGAGGACCACCAGUGGCGAGGGCGACUCUCUGUUCUGUAUCUGACGCUGAGGCGCGAAAGCGUGGGGAGCGACCAGGAUUAGAUACCUUGUUAGUCCACGCCGUAAACGAUGAGUGUUAAGUGUUAGAGGGUUUCCGCCCUUUAGUGUUGCAGCAAACGCAUUAACCACUCCGCCUGGGGAGUACGGUCGCAAGACUGAAAUUCAAAGGAAUUGAGGGGGGCCCCCCCAAGCGGUGGAGCAUGUGGUUUAAUUGGAAGCAACGGGAAGACCCUUCCCAGGUCUUGACAUCUUUUGCCAACCCUAGAGAUAGGGGUUCCCCUUCGGGGCCAGAGUGCCAGGUGGUGCAUGGUGGUCGUCAGCUGGUGUCGUGAGAUGUUGGGUUAAGUCCCGCAACGAGCCCAACCCUUGAUUUUAGUUGCCAGCAUUCAGUUGGGCAUUUUAAGGUGACUGCCGGUGCCAAACCGGAGGAAGGGGGGGAGGAGGUCAAAUCUUCAUCCCCCUUAUGCCCUGGGUUCCCCACGUGUUCCAAUGGGCAGAACAAAGGGCAGGGAAGCCGGGAGGUUAAGCCAUUCCCACAAAUCUGUUUUCAGUUCGGAUCCCAGUCUGCAAUUGGACUGCGUGAAGCGGGAAUCGUUAGUAAUCGCGGAUCACCAUGCCGCGGUGAAUACGUUCCCGGGCCUUGUACCCCCCGCCCGUCACCCCAGGAGAGUUUGUACCACCGGAAGUCGGUGAGGUAACCUUUUGGAGCCAGCCGCCGAAGGUGGGACAGAUGAUUGGGGGAAGUCGUAAGCAGGU
rnacentral:rRNA from 1 species